GCUCCCUUAGCUCAGGUGGUCAGAGCGUUGGUCUUAUGAGCCGAAGGUCGCGAGUUCGAACCUCGCUAGGAGUA
rfam:Selaginella moellendorffii unplaced genomic scaffold SELMOscaffold_191, whole genome shotgun sequence.